UCCUGUAUCAGAAACAACUCCACGUGGGAGCAAUCACAUUCCAGAAAAACAUCUGCCAACUCUAUUAGUGGCAGGAAUCAGCAUUUCAUUAGUGUUCCUUUUUAUUCUUGUAAUUGUUGGUGUUUGGUAUGUACAGAAAAAAUCAAAGGGAGGUUCGGCUGAAAUUAAUUCUGUCCCCUCUGGUGAACCUGGAGUGUCCUUAAAAAAAAUUUCAACAGAUGAGGACCAAUGCGAGUGGCCUUUCGAAAGAGCAUUACAAUGACAGCGGGAGAGCUGUUGCAUGACCCUUUGGUCUGUGCGCCUGUAUGGCAGAACCACGCCUGCAAUGGGACUUCGAGUUAGUAAUAUUCCCUUUUUCAGAGAGCGUUUCAAAUCGCUCCAAAAUAAUUUGGAAUGUCAGUUAACAAGAAAAUCCUGUUACCAAAAGAAUCUCAGCCAGUGCUAUUAAGUAAAGCAUUAAAACUGGGGGAAACAUUAAAACCAGGGAGGUUCUUAAAUGCCACCUGACAUGGCAUGCGUUGUCUGUAGCGUAACAAGAGAAAGGUCAAAGUGCUGCAGAGCCUCAAGCCUUAUAAUCUCUUUCCUCAUCAAUACCGUAACUAAAUCCAGUUCUGAGAACUGUGUGAUACUAGGGACUCUGGGAAACUUAAUCAUUGGUAUUUAUGGCCUUUGCUGUGUUAUAUAUCUGUUAUAUAUUGCAAUGAGGUGUAUUUCCAUCCCGCUCUUAUUUGUGUAACAUUUUUCAUGUUUUUCUUUUCUUAUGUCACUUUCAGGAGGAAAGAAGAAAGGAAAGUCCUCUCAAUUGUAGCUAUUUAAACAGCACUCUCAAAAAAGCUGUAUCUUCAAAAAAGUUAAAUUCUUGAAAUUAAAGAGAUUCUAGUUACAGAAAAUGGCACACUUAGGCUAUGUCUGUUCUAAUAAAUUAAACCUGCACAGGAACAUUGCUACUGUUGAGGCUAGCUGGAAUAGUCCUUGUUUAUGCUUGCAUACGUGUGAACUACCUAUUAGAAAUGGCUCCUGGAAGGCUCUAGCUUCCAAAAUUUGACUCAGGCUAAAACCAGUUUGCCAGCAUAAACAGUACUAUUCCAGUGCCUGGGAGUUUCCUAAUCAUUGCUUAAUUUACUAGUUUAGAUAUACAGUGUUAUUGUUUAAAGCUAUUUUUAAAUGACA